rnacentral:tRNA from 1 species
GGUCGUUAGGCUCAGUCGGUAGAGCAGCGGACUUUUAAUCCGUUGGUCGAAGGUUCGAAUCCAGAAUUCAACUCCCA